rnacentral:rRNA from 1 species
GAUGAACGCUGGCGGCGUGCCUAAUACAUGCAAGUCGAGCGAACAGACGAGGAGCUUGCUCCUUUGACGUUAGCGGCGGGCGGGUGAGUAACACGUAGGUAACCUACCUAUAAGACUGGGAUAACUUCGGGAAACCGGAGCUAAUACCGGAUAAUAUUUCGAACCGCAUGGUUCGAUAGUGAAAGAUGGCUUUGCUAUCACUUAUAGAUGGACCUGCGCCGUAUUAGCUAGUUGGUAAGGUAACGGCUUACCAAGGCAACGAUACGUAGCCGACCUGAGAGGGUGAUCGGCCACACUGGAACUGAGACACGGUCCAGACUCCUACGGGAGGCAGCAGUAGGGAAUCUUCCGCAAUGGGCGAAAGCCUGACGGAGCAACGCCGCGUGAGUGAUGAAGGUCUUCGGAUCGUAAAACUCCGUUAUUAGGGAAGAACAAACGUGUAAGUAACUGUGCACGUCUUGACGGUACCUAAUCAGAAAGCCACGGCUAACUACGUG